GGCAAGGUAGUUCAAUGGUUAGAACGUCACAAUCAAAGUACUGUCGGAGUGGCGUUUGUCGUUCGUAAUGUAUUAUACUUGUACUCGUAGCUUGCUUGGGUGUAAAGGUAUUGUGAAAAUGGAGGUUCGAUUCCUUCUCUGGCCA